rnacentral:rRNA from 1 species
UACGAAGGGGCUAGCGUUGCUCGGAAUCACUGGCGUAAAGGGUGCGUAGGCGGGUCUUUAAGUCAGGGGUGAAAUCCUGGAGCUCAACUCCAGAACUGCCUUUGAUACUGAGGAUCUUGAGUUCGGGAGAGGUGAGUGGAACUGCGAGUGUAGAGGUGAAAUUCGUAGAUAUUCGCAAGAACACCAGUGGCGAAGGCGGCUCACUGGCCCGAUAACUGACGCUGAGGCACGGAAAGCGUGGGAGCAAACAGG